CGGGCCGCGAUCUUCACGCACACGGUUAGUCGGCUGUAGCGUGUCCAUCCUUUAAGCCGCGUGUGCGCGUGUGUGAAGUCGUUUCGUCUUCGCUUUUGUGGGGUGCUUAAAGCCACAAACCAGUUCGUCAGCAAGGGUGCGUUUCGCGGUCCGAACACAAAGGUGGGGGUUGAAAAAAAAUGCCCCAUUGCAAGAUGCGUCUAAUCAUCCUCGACACGGCCGAGUACGUCGGCGAAUGGUCGGCCAAGUACGUGAUGAAGCGCAUCAACGACUUCAAGCCCGGCCCGGAUCGGUACUUUACGCUCGGCCUGCCGACCGGCUCGACCCCGCUCGGCAUGUACCGGCACCUGAUCAAGUUCCACCAGCAGGGGCGCAUCUCGUUCAAGUACGUGAAAACGUUCAACAUGGACGAGUACGUGGAUUUGCCGCGGGACCACCCGGAAAGCUACCAUUACUUUAUGUGGCACAACUUUUUCAAACACAUCGACAUCGAUCCGGAAAACGUGCACAUCCUCGACGGUAAUGCGCCCGAUCUGGUGGCGGAGUGCGAUGCGUUCGAGGAGAAGAUACGGGCGGCGGGUGGGAUUGAGCUGUUCAUCGGUGGCAUCGGACCGGACGGGCACAUUGCGUUUAACGAGCCGGGAUCGUCGCUGGCGUCGAGGACGCGCGUGAAAACGCUGGCCCAGGAUACACUGGAGGCGAAUGCGCGCUUCUUUGGGAACGACAUUAGCAAGGUGCCGAAGCAGGCGCUGACGGUCGGCGUGGCGACGGUGAUGGAUGCGCGCGAGGUGAUGAUCAUGAUACUGGGGUCACACAAAGCGUUCGCCCUGUACAAGGCGAUCGAGGAGGGCGUGAACCAUAUGUGGACGGUCAGCGCGUUCCAGCAGCAUCCGCACACGAUCAUGAUCUGCGACGAGGACGCGACGCUCGAGCUGCGGGUGAAAACGGUCAAGUAUUUCAAGGAUUGCUACAAACUAUCUGCCGACGGGUUUGAGCAGGCAACGCUACGCAAUUGAAUCUCUCGACUGUUCUCCCUAUAGCUCUCCCGUUGGCUAAAUCUCCGCCCCGUAGAGAGGUCGUGUUCUAUCCAAUGAUGCUGAAAGAUAGUUUUGUUCCCUCACUAGUUCAUGCUUUGUUGCUCCAAUGGCACCGUUCGGUGCACUUUGCCUUCUGCCAAUGAAGCAAACCCAACCGGGCCCCGAAAGAAGAUGAAGGUGUACGAGGGUCUGAUGGACGUACACUCCAAGCUGAUCGAGGAUGAUGCACCGAAGUAAACGCGAUGCACCGCUGGCAAGAUGGUGGGGAUUUUUCGGUAGCAAAUUGAUAACAAAUUAGGUGGCUGGGAGGACUGCAAUGUUGACAAAACCAUAUCUACCUUAGUAUUGCGAUGCGAAUGGUGGCUUACGUCCGGUGGCAACGAACUCGAAGGAUUGCUGAGUAGUGUUUGUGUGGGAAGCCAAGCCACAAACAUGUUAACAGUAACGGUGCAAUUUAUUGUUAUGUAUAGUUGAACUUUUUUUAUUAUUAUUUCCGUUUUAUUGCUGUGUACUGUAUUACUUCUGUGUUCUUUCCAAAUCUCAAGCAGUGCUUUGCAAACACGUUUUUUUCACGAUGAAAAUAGAAAAUAAAAGAAUCGAAUCAACUUUAUGAAAGCAA